rnacentral:rRNA from 1 species
CUACGUGCCAGCAGCCGCGGUAAUACGGAAGGUCCAGGCGUUAUCCGGAUUUAUUGGGUUUAAAGGGAGCGUAGGCUGGAGAUUAAGUGUGUUGUGAAAUGUAGACGCUCAACGUCUGAAUUGCAGCGCAUACUGGUUUCCUUGAGUACGCACAACGUUGGCGGAAUUCGUCGUGUAGCGGUGAAAUGCUUAGAUAUGACGAAGAACUCCGAUUGCGAAGGCAGCUGACGGGAGCGCAACUGACGCUGAAGCUCGAAGGUGCGGGUAUCGAACAGGAUUAGAUACCCUGGUAGUCCACGCCGUAAACGAUGAGUGCUAGGUGUUAGACCCUUUCCGGGGUUUAGUGCCGUAGCUAACGCAUUAAGCACUCCGCCUGGGGAGUACGACCGCAAGGUUGAAACUCAAAGGAAUUGACGGGGGCCCGCACAAGCGGUGGAGCAUGUGGUUUAAUUCGAAGCAACGCGAAGAACCUUACCAGGUCUUGACAUCC